CUCCUUUUCCUUCAGAUCAUAUUCUCUCUAAGGUUCACUUUCACUCUUUGAUUGUAUCUUUCUCAAGAAAAUAAUGGCUUUGGAGAUCUGUGUUAAGGCUGCUGCUGGUGCCCCUUGUGUUCGUGGAGACUGUCCUUUUUGUCAAAGGGUUCUUCUCACUUUGGAGGAGAAGAAGGUUCCUUACAAGUUGCACCUUGUCAAUCUCAGUGACGAUCCCCAAUGGUUUUUGGAGAUAAGUCCAGA